CUAUAAUUCAAUUAUGAACCAAGCUAGAUGGAUUCGAUCAUCCGGUACUUGACUAAUGAAACUCUACCAAUAGACCUUUUAGAAGCCAAAUGACUUAAAUGGAUAGCUUCACAAUAUAUUUUAAUGAAUGGCCAACUCUAUAAAAAGUCGUUCUCUCUUCCAUUACUAAAGUGUUUGAAACCAGCAGGUACCGACUAUGCACUCCGAGAAGUUCAUGAAAAAAUUUGUAAAAAUUACUUGGAGGGCAAAUCUUUAGCUUAUAAAGUCUUACGACAA
rnacentral:lncRNA from 1 species